AACCCCUCGAGAGUGGCGAACGGGUGAGUAAUAUAUCGGAACGUGCCCAGUCGUGGGGGAUAACGUAGCGAAAGUUACGCUAAUACCGCAUACGAUCUAAGGAUGAAAGCGGGGGACUCGCAAGAGCCUCGCGCGAUUGGAGCGGCCGAUAUCAGAUUAGGUAGUUGGUGGGGUAAAGGCUCACCAAGCCAACGAUCUGUAGCUGGUCUGAGUGGACGACCAGCCACACUGGAACUGAGACACGGUCCAGACUCCUACGGGAGGCAGCAGUGGGGAAUUUUGGACAAUGGACGCAAGUCUGAUCCAGCCAUUCCGCGUGCAGGAUGAAGGCCUUCGGGUUGUAAACUGCUUUUGUACGGAACGAAAAGGUCUCUAUUAAUACUAGGGGCUCAUGACGGUACCGUAAGAAUAAGCACCGGCUAACUACGUGCCAGCAGCCGCGGUAAUACGUAGGGUGUAAGCGUUAAUCGGAAUUACUGGGCGUAAAGCGUGCGCAGGCGGUUAUAUAAGACAGAUGUGAAAUCCCCGGGCUCAACCUGGGAACUGCAUUUGUGACUGUAUAGCUAGAGUACGGUAGAGGGGGAUGGAAUUCCGCGUGUAGCAGUGAGAUGCGUAGAUAUGCGGAGGAACACCGAUGGCGAAGGCAAUCCCCUGGACCUGUACUGACGCUCAUGCACGAAAGCGUGGGGAGCAAACAGGAUUAGAUACCCUGGUAGUCCACGCCCUAAACGAUGUCAACUGGUUGUUGGGUCUUUACUGACUCAGUAACGAAGCUAACGCGUGAAGUUGACCGCCUGGGGAGUACGGCCGCAAGGUUGAAACUCAAAGGAGUUGACGGGGACCCGCACAAGCGGUGGAUGAUGUGGUUUAAUUCGAUGCAACGCGAAAACCUUACCCACCUUUGACAUGUACGGAAGCCUUUAGAGAUAGAGGCGUGCUCGAAAGAGAGCCGUAACACAGGUGCUGCAUGGCUGUCGUCAGCUCGUGUCGUGAGAUGUG
rnacentral:rRNA from 1 species